rnacentral:lncRNA from 1 species
CUUCUUCCACUUCUUGGUCUGCUUUGCUUUGGUUUCCUGCCUCCAUCUCAGCCGUAGUCACCUUAUUGUUUCAGAUAAAAGAAAGAAGAAGAGUGUGAGGUGGCGCCGGGUAUUGGAGGAGACUGCUGCUGCUACCGAGUGUGAGGUGGCGGCGGGUACGGCUGGCUCGAGUCGGGCCAGGCCAGCGUGCUCUCCCAGUUCCAGUCGGCCGCCGCGGCGGACGCCUCGCUCUGUUGCGAGUCGUG